UAAUAAGUUGCUCAUAAAGCAAAGAAUGGUCAAUUUCUUUCUCAACUCACCCCAAAUUUUUGGCAGUGCAAACAUUGCUUAUCCUUUCAGGUAUUCAGGACUUCGAAAAGCACUUCCCCUCAUGUUUAACACCCAGACACCCCAUAGCAAGAAGCUUUACAAACAUCAGCAG